AAGUAGAUGCACCCUGAUAGAACCCCUCGUUCAGAGGGGUUUUUUAU
rnacentral:sRNA from 1 species